UUGUACAAAAUUAGUUUCUAUGUUUGUGAAACUCUCACGUCUCUUCCUUAUCUGUGCUCUCUCUCACACACUUUCGUUUCUUUCUCAAAUAUAUUUUCCCUUUUUAUUAUAUAUACUUUCCUUUUCCUCCUCUCUCUCUCUCUCUCUCUCUCUCAUGUUCUUCUCUUUGUCUUCAACCAAUCUUAAUUGAAAGGGUAACCCCAAUUAAGAAUCCAGUCCUGAUUCUUGUGGGUUCCUUUCAGUUGCUGAAACCGUGUCUGAAUUUACAUGGUUUUGUGAUUGGUUUGAAUUGCUCGAAGAUCAUAUUCAUAUUAACCAUUAAAUAUGAGUUCUUAGUGGUGAUCUUGACUUGUUUUCAUGGGAAAGAAAGUGUUUUGCAGCUGAGAAUGUCAUUACCAGGAGAUGUUUUUCGACGGGGGAAUUGAGGAGUGUGAUUUGGAUUAAGAUCUUAGAAUCUGUGACUUAACCCAAUCUCUUCUCUCUAUCUUUGUUUUGGGUCUCCUGCAGGUUGAAGUUGGGUUAAUUUGUAAAUUCUCAAUUUUCUAUAAUAUUGGUAUCAGUCAAACCAUCAAUCAAUCCAAGGAAUGGAGACUCCAGAGUAGACUAUGUUGAUAUGAAGAUUGUGGAUUAAGCUAAAUACUAUUAAUCUGCUUAGACAUACGACUAGAUCUACUUCAAUUUUAGGUGUUUCUUUCUCGUGUUCAUGUAGAUUUCUUUCUUUUUCCUCAAUUGUUCUUAGAAUAUUGUGGAGAUGGAUUUUGGUAGUGAUUAGUGAAGGAGACUGAGGUUGGAUUUUUCAUCCAUAGUUUUUGUUUUUCAUAAGGUUGAUGAUUGAUGAGCUUUGCCAUUAUCUUUCUUUAUUUUAUUAACUAAACAUCAUCAUUUAAACCAAUUGCAGAUUCUUUCUGCAACUUAGAAACGCAGACCGCUGGAAAGUGAAUCGACUUCAUUUCUACAACUCAAACAGUUAUAAAAACCGGAUGGCUACUAUUACAAUUGUCCAUAGAGGUGCUCGAACACAUGUGCAGCAGUUGGUUUCACACUUAAUAUUGCUUAUAAAUGGAGUGCUUACUCUUAUGUGGAAUCAUUCAUCAUUAUCUGAAAGCAUGAACACACAGAAUUGGCAAGGGAAGCUUUUAGGAAAUCACUGGUGUUGUUGAAGAAUGGCAAGACAGCAUCUGACCCACCAGAAGAAUGGCAAGACAACAUUUGGCCAACCAGUGCUCCCUUUUCUAAAGAAGGCACCAAAUAUCCUUGUCUCCAUUACCCAUGCUGAGAACUUGGGCUACCAAUGCGUUGGAUGAACAAUUAAGUGGCAAGGACUCGAUGGAAAAUUACCUCAAUAGAGAUUGAAGACCUCAUGAUGGUAAAUAACAACAAUUGAAGAAGAAAUUGCGAGAUGGAGGGAAGCUUGUGGAUUGAAAUUGGAAGCUGGGAAGAAUGUCAUUGAAGAAUGUGAUAGAGAUAGCAAACUCUGGAGCGAAGAAAACUACAGGGCGCGUGCUAGCGCACAUCCAUUUUUCAGCAUGCCCAGCAAGCAAGAAGCCGGAUGCGCCCCUAACAGAGUCAAGGCAACGGUGCUCUACGAUCAGCUCAACCACCGGGAGAGAGUGCUCUAUGAUCAGCUCGACCGCAGGCUAGUUGUAAAUCAGCUUACUCUCCAUUGGGCUCAUCCCUUGCUUACUUAUUCUGGUGCGCGCCUUACUAAUAAUUGGGCAAAAGUGAGCCUUUGGCUCGCCUUGUUUUGGCGUGCGUUUUUAUUUUAUAUAGGGGUAAGGCUUUUCUUCGCUUGGUUGACUUUGUCAGAAAAGAAACUUUUUUUUCUUUUAAUCAGAGGUUACUGCUUGGUAAGGAGAUUGUUCAAUCUCACAUUUUGUUCUCCUCCUUUGAUGCUGGUUAUGGUGGUCUUCGUAGUGGGCAAUUUUGUGGUUCAUGGUUGAGGCCACCUAGUGUGGAAACUGGUUAGAAGCGGUUGAACGCCUACAUUUAGAUUGAAAAGGUAGUUGUUGGCAAUUUAUAGACACAUAGUAUCAUCUUUGUCUUGUAUUCCAUUGGGAGUUGCAGUCUCAGAGAAACAUGAACAUUGGAGUCAUUUCUAAGCAA